rnacentral:rRNA from 1 species
AACGAACGCUGGCGGCAGGCUUAACACAUGCAAGUCGAGCGCGUAGCAAUACGAGCGGCAGACGGGUGAGUAACGCGUGGGAAUCUACCGUACCCUACGGAAUAGCUCUGGGAAACUGGAAGUAAUACCGUAUACGCCCUAACGGGGAAAGAUUUAUCGGGGUAUGAUGAGCCCGCGUUGGAUUAGCUAGUUGGUGGGGUAAAGGCCUACCAAGGCGACGAUCCAUAGCUGGUCUGAGAGGAUGAUCAGCCACAUUGGGACUGAGACACGGCCCAAACUCCUACGGGAGACAGCAGUGGGGAAUAUUGGACAAUGGGCGCAAGCCUGAUCCAGCCAUGCCGCGUGAGUGAUGAAGGUCUUAGGAUUGUAAAGCUCUUUCACCGAUGAAGAUAAUGACGGUAGUCGGAGAAGAAGCCCCGGCUAACUUCGUGCCAGCAGCCGCCGUAACAC